UACGUAGGGUGCAAGCGUUAAUCGGAAUUACUGGGCGUAAAGCGUGCGCAGGCGGUUUUGUAAGUCUGACGUGAAAUCCCCGGGCUCAACCUGGGAAUUGCGUUGGAGACUGCAAGGCUAGAAUCUGGCAGAGGGGGGUAGAAUUCCACGUGUAGCAGUGAUAUGCGUAGAGAUGUGGAGGAACACCGAUGGCGAAGGCAGCCCCCUGGGUCAAGAUUGACGCUCAUGCACGAAAGCGUGGGGAGCAAACAGG
rnacentral:rRNA from 1 species